UGGGUUCCGAUCCCGGCUCGGCC
rnacentral:miRNA from 13 species